GGCGUUGUAAGCAAGUGUUUCUCUUCAAGUCUCUACCAACAAUUGCUCUUGAUGUAUUGAAAAACAUAUGUAGUAAUGUUCAGCUUCUUGGGAUAAAUGGAAGUGAGUCGUCUUUUCUCAUGGUUUAGUUAAUGAUGAGUUCUCAUACUACCCCUGUUUUGGGUAAUUUGGCACCCAGGUUAAUUUAUAUUACCGGGAAACAUAAAUUUUGUUCAAAUCGUAUAUCAACGGGGAAGUAUAAUGUUUUCUCUUUUAUGCCUAAAUUUUUGUUUGAACAAUUUCGCCGCUACUCUAAUGUGUUCUUCCUCAUCAUUGCCUUGCUCCAACAAAUACCCAAUGUUUCACCUACUGGUCGAUAUACAACGGCUGUACCCUUAUUUUCAAUCCUCGCAGUAUCCGCCCUGAAAGAAGUGUUUGAGGACAUUAAACGUCACCGAGCUGAUCGCACAGUCAACCGAAGCAAAGCUUUGGUUUUAAAUAAAUGUACCAACCAAUGGGAGAUUAAAUUUUGGAUGGACAUUAUGGUUGGUGAUGUGAUUAAAGUGAAAAAUGAUGGCUUCUUUCCAGCUGAUCUUUUGUUACUUGCCUCUUCUGAGCCAAAUGGUAUGUGCUACAUUGAAACUGCUAACCUUGAUGGUGAAACAAAUUUAAAAAUACGUCAAUCACUUGCUGCAACGUAUCAUUGUAUCACUAGUGAACAGUUGAUAAAUGAUCUAUCACUAGCCUCAGUUUCCUGUGAACCUCCUAACAAGCAUCUCUAUGAGUUCCAUGGUAACUUAAAAGUUGGAGAUACUCUUUAUCCUAUUAAUCCUGAUCAAAUUUUAUUGAGAGGGGCUAAAUUAAAAAAUACCAAUUGGAUUUUCGGUACUGUUUUGUACACUGGACAUGAAACAAAGCUUAUGAUGAAUAGUAUGCUUCAAGCUCCUCUUAAACAGUCUCGUGUUGAACAAAUUACCAAUUCACAAAUUUUAAACUUAUUUGGCAUUCUACUUUCCAUUGGAGCUAUCUCUACUAUCGCUAACCUUAUAUGGAAUAAUGGAGCUGAAAAUCAUUGGUACCUUGAUGAGAAAUCAACCUCAUCCAAUUUUGCUUACACUUUUCUAACCUUUUUCAUUCUUUACAAUAAUUUAAUUCCAAUUUCAUUACAAGUAACAUUAGAGGUUGUACGCUUUGUACAAGCUCAUUUUAUUAAUUCAGACUUAGAAAUGUAUUGCUCUGAGUCUGAUACUCCUGCAAUGGCGCGCACAUCCAAUUUAAAUGAGGAACUUGGCCAAGUACGUUACAUUCUUUCGGAUAAAACAGGAACGUUAACUCGCAACGUGAUGGAGUUUCGUCAAUGUUCCAUAGCCGGGAUAAUAUUUUCUGCGGAAGAAGGAACAAAGAUGGUCAAUUUAAUAAACACUAGUCAAGAUAAAGGACAUUAUAUUAGAGAAUUUUUAACUCUACUGGCAAUCUGUCAUACAGUGGUUCCUGAAAAAGAUUCAGAUGAAUCUAGUGAUGGUGGAAUCAAAUAUCAAGCUGCCAGUCCAGAUGAAGGAGCUCUUGUCAAAGGAGUAGCGAAUAUUGGUUUUAAGUUUACUACAAGGACUCCCGAUUAUGUUUACAUCAAUGCCCUUGGCCGGGAAGAAAAGUACCAAAUAUUGAAUGUUCUUGAAUUCAACUCUGAAAGAAAAAGAAUGUCUGUGAUAGUCAGGUGUCCCAAUGGAAAAAUUAAAUUAUACAUUAAAGGAGCCGAUACAGUACUUUAUGAGCGAUUAGCAAAUGAACAAUUUGCUGAUGUUACAGUUGAACAUUUAAGUGUAUUUGCCAGUCAAGGUUUGAGAACACUGUGCUGUGGUUAUGCAAAUAUCGAUGAGACAACCUAUGCUGAUUGGAUGAAAGACUAUCAAAAGGCAAUCAACGAUGUGUCAAGCAACCGUGAAGAGACCAUUGGUCAAGUGAUGAAUAAGAUUGAGCAAAAAUUGAGUUUAUUGGGAGCAACAGCGAUUGAAGAUAAACUUCAAGAUGGUGUACCUGAAACUAUUGAAACUCUUUUAAAGGCGGACAUCAAGAUUUGGGUACUUACUGGGGAUAAGCAAGAGACAGCAAUCAAUAUUGGCCACUCUUGCAGAUUAAUACGUGACUCUAAUCCGUUAAUAAUUAUUAAUGAAGAUUCAUUAGAUGCAACUCGUGAAGCUAUCAGAGAGGUUGAACCCACACCAGGAUCGGUUCUAGUGGUUGAUGGUAAAUCUCUCAAGUAUGCUUUAGCUUCUGAUAUCAAAGCUGAAUUUGUUGACAUUGCUUUAAUAUCUACUGCCGUUAUCUGUUGUCGAGUUUCACCUAUUCAAAAGGCUGAAAUUGUCGACAUGGUUAAGUCAAAGACCGGUGAAGUGUGCCUUGCCAUUGGUGAUGGUGCAAAUGAUGUUGCUAUGAUCAGAGCAGCUAAUGUCGGUGUUGGCAUAUCUGGUCACGAAGGUUUACAAGCAGUUCACUCAGCAGACUACAGUAUUCCCCAGUUUCGCUUUUUAGCCCGUCUUCUUUUGGUCCAUGGAGCAUGGUCACUUUCCCGUCUCUGUAAAUUAAUCCUCUAUUCUUUUUACAAAAACAUCGCCUUAUGCAUCAUUGAACUCUGGUUUGCUUGUGUAAGUGCCUGGAGCGGACAAACCAUCUUCGACCGAUGGACCAUUGGUUUGUACAAUGUUUUCUUUACCGCCCUUCCUCCCUUUGCCAUCGGUCUAUUUGAUCGACAGUGUUCAGCAGAAACCAUGUUAAAGUAUCCGGGUCUAUACCGUAUAGCCAAUGAAACAGUUUUCACCUUAAGACUUUUCUGGAUUUGGAUUGGAACUGCAAUUUGGCAUUCUUUGGUUCUUUUCUGGUUGACUUAUGUUGUAGUGAAAAAUGACGCCCUCUGGCCUCAUGGUCUUUCUGACGGAGGUUACCUUGUUUUUGGUAAUGUAUUAUAUACCUACGUGGUUGUCACGGUGUGCCUCAAAGCAGGUCUUGAAAUAUCAGCCUGGACCUGGGUCACUCAUGCAACCAUUUGGUCAUCCAUUGGCAUCUGGUUCAUCUUCCUCAUUGUUUAUUCAUAUUUUUGGCCAAGUUUACCCAUUGCAGCUGAUAUGUUGGCAAUGUAUAAAUUGGUUUUCUCAUCAUACAUCUUCUGGCUUGGACUUAUUAUCGUACCUUUCAUCACCUUGAUAUUUGACAUUGUUUACAAAAUUGUGGUCCGUACCUGUUACAAAACACUGGCUGACCAAGUCCUUGAAGAGGAAAAAAGUCUAGUCUCAUCAUCAUCCCAACAAACCCUAUUAACCGAGACUGCCAGGUUAAUUCGUAACGUUUUCGAUAAGAACAAAUCUCGUGGAAAAUCUAAAAGAGACUAUUCAUCUCCUGUUAAUCCCCAAGCAUCUUCAUCUGACUAUGUAUCAUUAAUCCGACCCGAAGAUGAGGAUCAAAGUUGAAACUAGACAUUUUCCUAUUCAAUUGAAAGACUGUUUUCUUAAAAAAACAACCAAAAAACACCAAAAUUUAAAAGCAAAUGACCAAACGCCCAUCACUUGCCAUCAACUUUCCAUCCUUGUCAUCACAUCAUCAUGAUCAUCGUUUCCAUAUAUUUCAAAUAUCCUCAACUCUUUUCCAUAUCAUCAUGCAAAGCUCACCAAUUCCUUCAAUUGUAAACAAGCAACAAAAUUAUUUUCAAUUUACUGUAUGAUUAUACUCAAUCGCAAUCCUAAAUUAUCAUCAACAUUUCCUUUCUCAUCACCAUUGUAUGAUUUACCUUUCCAUCAAUUUCUGUUCUUUCCUUUUUUCCUCUCUUAAAUUGUAAUUGUAUCAAAUCUGUUCAUUAUCUCUUAAUCUAUGUAGUCUAAUGUCAAAUUGUUGAUUUAAUUCCUUAAUUGUCGCCGUAUUUUCUCCUCACUGUUUGGUCCGUCUUUUACCUUCACUUCAUUGUCAAUCGUCUCCGUCUUCACCAAUCUCUCUGUCCAAAGUGAGCCCAAAUUUACCACCAACUAUUCAACUCGUCCAUCAAACCAGAAGGAAUCUUGUUGACCAUACCAUCUGAUUCGUUGGAUUAGCUCAUCUCUGUUUCCAUCUCUCAUUGCUUUUCAGGCUAAAAUUGAAAAUGGAAAUUUCGCCCUUUUCCUUCUUUACCUUUCAUUUCAUUGACUAUUCUCAAUAAUUUACUGCAAUCAUUAUAAUUAUUGUACAAUCAACACUUUUCCCACUUCGAUAUAUUUCAUUGUUAUUUGCCUUUCCUUUCAAAAACAAUUUAGGUUUCCCAUAAUGUAAUCCCGAUUAAUUGUUUCCCAUUUCACCUCUUCACAGAUGAACGUACAUUUCAAUCUUCACGUCUUAUUGUCGUUAAUCCAUCAACCUAAAUUGUCAACUUAUUUGUUUAUUAUUGUGGUCAUAAUUAUUAAUUACCUCGAGUUUACUAAAUAUAACUGCUAAUUUGAAAAACAAAAUCAAAGACAGAAAUUAUUCAAACUAUUUUGUGGCUUGAAAAAUAAAAACAACUGUUAAAUUAACUCUUAAUUUUCUGAUCAAAGCCAGACGAUUAGUGAACCAGUUGGUGGCAGUAUUAGCACUAGUAACAAUCUUAAUUGGAUAUCUCGUUGGUUUAAUGGUCAAUCAUCAAGCAAGAGACGAGCAAGAUCUAGAACAGAUGAUGUUUCCCUUGUCAUACCAACCGUUAGUGAAACAAUCGGAACAGCUAAUAAUCAAGAGAUUGGACCUUUAAUUAGUGCCACUUCAAGUUGAAAAUUUAAUUUAAAAUCAAUCAGUAAAAUCAACUGAGGCCAUAGAAUUAUUAUUACCCAAAAAAACUGGUAAACAAAGCGAACUGGUCAAAAAUGGUUUUCAUUUAUUUUGCUGUAGCUGCCAAACUAAAUUUACAAUAUUUUCAAUUGUUGCUAUCAUCAUUAACCAUGAUGACAAUUUUAUCCAAUUUUAUCAGUCAAUUGUGAUCUCUUCAAUUGCUAAUCAAUCUUAAUUUUUGUUUCACCUUAACGUUUUCAUCUUUUUAUUACUUUAAAUGACCAAAAUUAUCAUUAUUA